AACGGCUGGCGGCGUGCCUAAUACAUGCAAGUCGAACGGUCUUUCUAUGGAAGCUUGCUUCCACUGAGAAGAGUAGUGGGCGAACGGGUGAGGUAACACGUGGGUAACCUGCCCAUAAGAGGGGGAUAACAUCCGGAAACGGGUGCUAAUACCGCAUAGUUUUCUUGAUUGCAUGAUUGAGAAAGGAAAGACGGCCUUUGUGCUGUCGCUUAUGGAUGGACCCGCGGCGUAUUAGUUAGUUGGUGAGGUAACGGCUCACCAAGACGAUGAUACGUAGCCGACCUGAGAGGGUGAUCGGCCACAUUGGGACUGAGACACGGCCCAAACUCCUACGGGAGGCAGCAGUAGGGAAUCUUCCGCAAUGGACGAAAGUCUGACGGAGCAACGCCGCGUGAGUGAAAGAAGGUUUUCGGAUCGUAAAACUCUGUUGUCAGAGAAGAACAAGUUGGAGAGUAACUGCUCCAGCCUUGACGGUAUCUGACCAGAAAGCCACGGCUAACUACGUGCCAGCCGCCGC
rnacentral:rRNA from 1 species